GACAGAGGAUGCAAGCGUUAUCCGGAAUGAUUGGGCGUAAAGCGUCUGUAGGUGGCUUUUUAAGUCCGCCGUCAAAUCCCAGGGCUCAACCCCGGACAGGCGGUGGAAACUACCAAGCUGGAGUACGGUAGGGGCAGAGGGAAUUUCCAGUGGAGCGGUGAAAUGUGUAGAUAUUGGAAAGACCACCGAUGGCGAAGGCACUCUACUGGGCCAUGACUGACACUGAGAGACGAAAGCUAGGGGAGCAAAUGGG
rnacentral:rRNA from 1 species